UAAAAUGCCUCAGAUCUAUCAUUUCUA
rnacentral:piRNA from 1 species